rnacentral:rRNA from 1 species
ACAUGCUUUCAACAUAACAUUAAUGCACAGGAUCCUAUAAGAACUCCGAAGUUAAGCACGUUUGGGCUAGAGUAGUACUGGGAUGGGUGACCACCCAAAAAGUACUAGUGUUUUACAUGCC